UACAGAGGGGGCAAGCGUUGUUCGGAAUUACUGGGCGUAAAGGGCGCGUAGGCGGCCUGCUAAGUCGAUCGUGAAAUCCCCGGGCUUAACCCGGGAACUGCGACCGAUACUGGUUGGCUUGAAUUCGGGAGAGGGAUGCGGAAUUCCAGGUGUAGCGGUGAAAUGCGUAGAUAUCUGGAGGAACACCGGUGGCGAAGGCGGCAUCCUGGACCGGCAUUGACGCUGAGGCGCGAAAGCCAGGGGAGCAAACGGG
rnacentral:rRNA from 1 species